UGAGUGAACCAGGUGAUCGCGGGAAGACUCUACCGAGUCUUCUUGAGGAAAGUCCGAGCUCCAUAGAGCAGGAUGCUGGGUAACGCCCAGUGGGGGUAACCCUAAGGCUAGUGCCACAGAAAUAGUCCGCCUAGAGAUAGGUAAGGUUGAAAAGGUGAGGUAAGAGCUCACCAGCGGUUAGGUGACUAAUCGGCUAGGUAAACCCCAUCCGGAGCAAGGUCAAAUAGGGAAGCAGAGGCUGCUCGUCUCGUUUUACUUCCGGGUUGACCGCAUGAGGUUUUAGGUAACUAAGACCCUAGAUAGAUGAUCAUCCUUGACAGAACUCGGCUUACAGGUUCACUCAGAAC
rnacentral:RNase_P_RNA from 1 species